GAUGAACGCUGGCGGCGUGCCUAAUACAUGCAAGUCGAGCGAACCGAUGAGGAGCUUGCUCCUCUGACGUUAGCGGCGGACGGGUGAGUAACACGUGGAUAACCUACCUAUAAGACUGGGAUAACUUCGGGAAACCGGAGCUAAUACCGGAUAAUAUAUUGAACCGCAUGGUUCAAUAGUGAAAGACGGUUUUGCUGUCACUUAUAGAUGGAUCCGCGCCGCAUUAGCUAGUUGGUAAGGUAACGGCUUACCAAGGCAACGAUGCGUAGCCGACCUGAGAGGGUGAUCGGCCACACUGGAACUGAGACACGGUCCAGACUCCUACGGGAGGCAGCAGUAGGGAAUCUUCCGCAAUGGGCGAAAGCCUGACGGAGCAACGCCGCGUGAGUGAUGAAGGUCUUCGGAUCGUAAAACUCUGUUAUUAGGGAAGAACAAAUGUGUAAGUAACUAUGCACGUCUUGACGGUACCUAAUCAGAAAGCCACGGCUAACUACGUG
rnacentral:rRNA from 1 species